AUUGAACGUUGGCGGCAUGCCUUACACAUGCAAGUCGAACGGCAGCGGGGGAGAAGCUUGCUUUUCCUGCCGGCGGGUGGCGAACGGGUGAGUAAUACAUCGGAACGUGCCCUGUAGUGGGGGAUAACUAGUCGAAAGAUUAGCUAAUACCGCAUACGACCUGUGGAUGAAAGCGGGGGAUCGCAAGACCUCGCGCGAUUGGAGCGGCCGAUAUCAGAUUAGGUAGUUGGUGGGGUAAAGGACCACCAAGCCAACGAUCUGUAGCUGGUCUGAGAGGACGACCAGCCACACUGGAACUGAGACACGGUCCAGACUCCUACGGGAGGAAGCAGUGGGGAAUUUUGGACAAUGGGCGAAAGCCUGAUCCAGCCAUUCCGCGUGCAGGAUGAAGGCCCUCGGGUUGUAAACUGCUUUUGUACAGAACGAAAAGGUUUCUACUAAUACUAGGAGCUCAUGACGGUACUGUAAGAAUAAGCACCGGCUAACUACGUGCCAGCCGCCGCAGUAA
rnacentral:rRNA from 1 species